CCUACAAUGCCCCAACAGCACAUACAGGUUUAAGAUGAAACAUAACAUAGUAAAACAUUACUGUUGAUCAGCAUUUCAAUUAGACUGCACAUUUUAAGAAUGGAUAGGUAAAGGUACAUUUGAUUAACAGACACUUGUAUAUCUAAGAAUGCCAAGAGUUAAUUAGACUUGCUUAUGGUCAGGAUGUCAGUGAAUGAAUAAGAGCUUUUGCCAUAAAACAGGGUGUUCACACUGAUAUAUUAAUUAUGGGAGAUAUAGCUUAGGGAAAAGAAGAGCUGGUCAAAUCUGGGGCUAUGAUUUGAAUAUAACAGGCUUAAUGUCCCACUGGUUUAUGGUAGAGCAGGGUAAUGCUCACCAAUGGAGUUUCUUUGGGGGAGUCAUGCUGUCCCACGGGUCCAGCUUCAGCGGGCUGCUAGUUACGGCGUGCUGUCUGUCCUGCUGGAUAUCUGGAUCUCACUUGCUUGUGCCUCCGACCUGGUUGUGGUAAAAGUCGAAUAUCGAUGGGAGGGGGAGUCUGGAGCUUAUCACACUACCACCCCAGGCUCUGCAUGAGCUGACCACUUGUGCCCUCGGUUCUGGUACCUUAUAUGGCCGGCAACGGGAUUCCCAGUAGGUAUGUUUCCUCCGGGUGUUGGGCUGCGGUUCGAGGAGUGUUCUCUA